rnacentral:rRNA from 1 species
CCUACGGGAGGCAGCAGUCGAGAGGCUUCGGCAAUGGGGGAAACCCUGACCGAGCGACGCCGCGUGGAGGAUGAAGGCCUUUGGGUCGUAAACUCCUUUCGUGGGGGAAGAAUGUAUUCGGGGUAAAUAAUCCCGAGUAUUGACGGUACCCCAAGAAGAAGCUCCGGCUAACUCCGUGCCAGCAGCCGCGGUAAUACGGGGGGAGCAAGCGUUGUUCGGAAUCACUGGGCGUAAAGGGCGUCUAGGCGGUUUGGUAAGUGGGAUGUGAAAUCCCCGGGCUCACCCCGGGAGCUGCAUCCCAAACUGCUGAGCUUGAGUACAGGAGAGGGUAGGGGAAUUCCAGGUGUAGCGGUGAAAUGCGUAGAUAUCUGGAGGAACACCGGUGGCGAAGGCGCCUACCUGGCCUGUUACUGACGCUGAAGCGCGAAAGCUAGGGGAGCAAACGGGAUUAGAUACCCCGGUAGUCCUAGCCGUAAACGGUGAUCACUAGGUGUUGGGAGCAUCGACCCUUCCAGUGCCGCAGCUAACGCAUUAAGUGAUCCGCCUGGGGAGUACGGCCGCAAGGUUGAAACUCAAAGGAAUUGACGG